rnacentral:lncRNA from 1 species
ACGCAGGUGUUAGGAACCGGAUGAGUCUAGCUUGGAAGCCCAGGGACCCCUUGAAACAUCCUCAGCAAUGCACACUGAGUCACCUGUACUCUGUCCAUGGAUGGAGAAAAGGCUUUGUCCUCUGACCUCACCCCAUGUCCACUCUGCCAUGCCACAGCCAUAUCACCCGACUGCAUUUCCUAGUUCUGGGGUCAGCCACUGGUUGACACUGGUAAGUAAAGGAACAAGAAGUUGGUGUCUUCUCAUCCUUCUGUGGCAGGACUUCUAGUGUGGUUGAGCUCUCUCAACACUGGGAUCCAGUUCCCACAGAAAAGGAGACUCUUACAUAAAAAUGGAAGCAGUUUCUACCCCGGUGAUGUGCAAAUUUUGACAGGACA